rnacentral:lncRNA from 1 species
CAAGAGGACUGGGUCACAUUCUAUGGAUACAAACAGCUGAACAGCAUGAAGAGAGAAGAAUCUCCCUGAACUGAACAAAUGUGUCACUUUUGAAUAAGGAUUCAUGAAAAGGCAGAAGAGGAGAAGAAAAAAGAAUAAAGGCAAAUUCUGCCAGUGAUCUUGUGUCGCUGCUCUGUCAUCCUCGUUCAGUGGUGGUGAAGCACACUGGUGGUAGCUGAGCUCCUGGAAAUGCUGGAAAAACUGGUGAGAACAAAGCUGCACCAUAGUUAGAGCUGAAGGAAGAAAAUGAG